AUUGAACGCUGGCGGCAGGCCUAACACAUGCAAGUCGAACGAGUGGCGGACGGGUGAGUAAUGUCUGGGAAACUGCCCGAUGGAGGGGGAUAACUACUGGAAACGGUAGCUAAUACCGCAUACCAUCGGAUGUGCCCAGAUGGGAUUAGCUAGUAGGGUGGGUAACGGCUCACCUAGGCGACGAUCCCUAGCUGGUCUGAGAGGAUGACCAGCCACACUGUAACUGAGACACGUGCCAGACUCCUACGGUAUGUAGCAGUGGGGAAUAUUGCACAAGGGUCGCAAUCCUGAUGCAGCCAUGCCGCGUGUAUGAAGAAGGCCUUCGGGUUGUAAAGUACUUUCAGCGAGGAGGCGUUACUCGCAGAAGAAGCACCGGCUAACUCCGUGCCAGCAGCCGCGGUAAUUC
rnacentral:rRNA from 1 species